rnacentral:rRNA from 1 species
UACGUAGGGGGCUAGCGUUAUCCGGAUUUACUGGGCGUAAAGGGUGCGUAGGUGGUUUCUUAAGUCAGAGGUGAAAGGCUACGGCUCAACCGUAGUAAGCCUUUGAAACUGGGAAACUUGAGUGCAGGAGAGGAGAGUGGAAUUCCUAGUGUAGCGGUGAAAUGCGUAGAUAUUAGGAGGAACACCAGUUGCGAAGGCGGCUCUCUGGACUGUAACUGACACUGAGGCACGAAAGCGUGGGGAGCAAACAGGAUUAGAUACCCGGGUAGUCCCUGAGCGGGCU